GUAGUACAUACGCCUACCAUGCAAGUCGAGCGGAUGAAGGGAGCUUGCUCCUGGAUUCAGCGGCGGACGGGUGAGUAAUGCCUAGGAAUCUGCCUGGUAGUGGGGGAUAACGUCCGGAAACGGGCGCUAAUACCGCAUACGUCCUGAGGGAGAAAGUGGGGGAUCUUCGGACCUCACGCUAUCAGAUGAGCCUAGGUCGGAUUAGCUAGUUGGUGGGGUAAAGGCCUACCAAGGCGACGAUCCGUAACUGGUCUGAGAGGAUGAUCAGUCACACUGGAACUGAGACACGGUCCAGACUCCUACGGGAGGCAGCAGUGGGGAAUAUUGGACAAUGGGCGAAAGCCUGAUCCAGCCAUGCCGCGUGUGUGAAGAAGGUCUUCGGAUUGUAAAGCACUUUAAGUUGGGAGGAAGGGCAGUAAGUUAAUACCUUGCUGUUUUGACGUUACCAACAGAAUAAGCACCGGCUAACUUCGUGCCAGCAGCCGCGGUAAUACGAAGGGUGCAAGCGUUAAUCGGAAUUACUGGGCGUAAAGCGCGCGUAGGUGGUUCAGCAAGUUGGAUGUGAAAUCCCCGGGCUCAACCUGGGAACUGCAUCCAAAACUACUGAGCUAGAGUACGGUAGAGGGUGGUGGAAUUUCCU
rnacentral:rRNA from 1 species